rnacentral:tRNA from 1 species
AUUCAAAUAGCUUAAGAAGAGUAUAAUAUUGAAGAUAUUAGGGUGAUUGUUGAAUCUUUGAAUA